AGGGCGCAUGGUGAAUGCCUUGGCAUCAGGAGCCGAUGAAGGACGUGAUAAGCUGCGAUAAGCUUCGGGUAGGCGCACAUAGCCUGAGAUCCGAAGAUCUCCGAAUGAGGAAACUCACAUGGGAAACCCCAUGUAUCAUUAAGUGAAUACAUAGCUUAAUGAAGGUAACCCAGGGAACUGAAACAUCUAAGUACCUGGAGGAAGAGAAAGAAAAAUCGAUUUUCUUAGUAGCGGCGAGCGAAAGGGAAAGAGCCCAAACCGGAAACUUGUUUCCGGGGUUGUGGACAUGACAUAAAAGUGGAGGCUAUUGUAACUGAAGAGAACUGGAAAGUUCCACCGUAGAAGGUAAUAGUCCUGUAAGUGAAACGAGAAGACCACGAGUUAUGAUCCAGAGUACCACGAGACACGUGAAACCUUGUGGGAAGCUGGGAGGACCACCUCCCAAGGCUAAAUACUACCUGAUGACCGAUAGUGAAGCAGUACCGUGAGGGAAAGGUGAAAAGAACCCCGGGAGGGGAGUGAAAUAGAACCUGAAACCGUGUGCCUACAACCGCUCAGAGCCCCUUAUGAGGGUGAUGAGGUGCUUUUUGUAGAACGAGCCAACGAGUUACGGUAUGUAGCAAGGUUAAGUACUUAAGGUACGGAGCCGAAGGGAAACCGAGUCUGAAUAGGGCGACUAGUUGCAUGCCGUAGACCCGAAACCGGGUGACCUAUCCAUGGCCAGGUUGAAGCGAGGGUAAAACCUCGUGGAGGACCGAACCACGUUGCUGUUGAAAAAGCAUGGGAUGAGCUGUGGAUAGCGGAGAAAUUCCAAUCGAACCCGGAGAUAGCUGGUUCUCUCCGAAAUAGCUUUAGGGCUAGCGUCGAGUAUGAGUAGUGGAGGUAGAGCACUGAAUGGGCUAGGGGGCAUAGCGCUUACCGAACCUUAUCAAACUCCGAAUGCCACAUACUUUGAGCUCGGCAGUCAGACUACGAAUGAUAAGAUCCGUGGUCAAAAGGGAAACAGCCCAGAUCGUCAGCUAAGGUCCCAAAGUGUAAGUUAAGUGGGAAAGGAUGUGAGAUUUCUAAGACAACUAGGAUGUUGGCUUAGAAGCAGCCAUUCAUUAAAAGAGUGCGUAAUAGCUCACUAGUCGAGAGAUCUUGCGCCGAAAAUGUAACGGGGCUAAACUUACCACCGAAGCUACGGGCUUGAACUUAGUUCAAGCGGUAGGAGAGCGUCGUAACCGGGCUGAAGUCGUACCGUAAGGAGCGGUGGACUGGUUACGAGUGAGAAUGUUGGCAUCAGUAGCGAGAUGUGGGUGAGAAUCUCACAGGCCGAAAACCUAAGGUUUCCUCAGGAAUGUUCGUCCGCUGAGGGUUAGUCGGGACCUAAGCCGAGGCCGAAAGGCGUAGGUGAUGGACAACUGGUUGAUAUUCCAGUACCACUACCAUCGUUAUUAUCGAUGGCGUGACGCAGGAGGAUAGUGUGUGCUAGCUAUUGGAUGCUAGUCUAAGCGUUUAGGCAGUGAGAGUAGGCAAAUCCGCUCUCAUAAUGCUGAGGCGUGAUGGGGAAGGUUCUACGGAACCGAAGUACAUGAUUCCACGCUGCCAAGAAAAGCGUCUAGAGAGAGAAGUAGUGCCCGUACCGCAAACCGACACAGGUAGGUGAGGAGAGAAUCCUAAGGCCGGCGGAAGAAUUACAGUUAAGGAACUCGGCAAAUUGACCCCGUAAGUUCGCGAGAAGGGGUGCCUACGAGAGUAGGCCGCAGAGAAUAGGCCCAAGCAACUGUUUAGCAAAAACACAGGUCUCUGCUAAAGCGUAAGCUGAUGUAUAGGGGCUGACGCCUGCCCGGUGCUGGAAGGUUAAGGGGAACACUUAGCGCAAGCGAAGGUGUGAACUUAAGCCCCAGUAAACGGCGGCCGUAACUAUAACGGUCCUAAGGUAGCGAAAUUCCUUGUCAGGUAAGUUCUGACCCGCACGAAUGGCGUAAUGACUUGGGCACUGUCUCAACUGUAAAUCCGGCGAAGUUGUAGUGCGAGUGAAGAUGCUCGCUACCCGCGAUUGGACGGAAAGACCCCGUAGAGCUUUACUGUAGCUUAGCAUUGAGUUUUGGUAUUGUCUGUACAGGAUAGGUGGGAGACUAGGAAACCAGGGCGUCAGCCUUGGUGGAGUCAACCUUGGGAUACCACCCUGACAGUACUGAAAUUCUAACUGGCGGCCAUGAAUCUGGUCACAGGACAUUGUUAGGUGGGCAGUUUGACUGGGGCGGUCGCCUCCUAAAAAGUAACGGAGGCGCCCAAAGGUUCCCUCAGAACGGUCGGAAAUCGUUCGAAGAGUGCAAAGGCAGAAGGGAGCCUGACUGCGACACCCACAAGUGGAGCAGGGACGAAAGUCGGGCUUAGUGAUCCGGUGGUACCUCGUGGGAGGGCCAUCGCUCAACGGAUAAAAGCUACCUCGGGGAUAACAGGCUGAUCUCCCCCAAGAGUCCACAUCGACGGGGAGGUUUGGCACCUCGAUGUCGGCUCGUCGCAUCCUGGGGCUGUAGUCGGUCCCAAGGGUUGGGCUGUUCGCCCAUUAAAGCGGCACGCGAGCUGGGUUCAGAACGUCGUGAGACAGUUCGGUCCCUAUCCGUCGCGGGCGUAGGAAAUUUGAGAGGAGCUGUCCUUAGUACGAGAGGACCGGGAUGGACUGACCUCUGGUGUACCAGUUGUUCCGCCAGGAGCACAGCUGGGUAGCUAAGUCGGGAAUGGAUAAACGCUGAAAGCAUCUAAGCGUGAAGCCAACCUCAAGAUGAGAUUUCCCAUAGCGUAAGCUAGUAAGAUCCCUUGA
rnacentral:rRNA from 1 species